UACGGAGGAUGCGAGCGUUAUCCGGAUUUAUUGGGUUUAAAGGGUGCGUAGGCGGUAUGGUAAGUCAGCGGUAAAAGCCCGGGGCUCAACCCCGGCGAGCCGUUGAAACUGCCGUGCCAGAGAGGAAGAGAAGUAGGCGGAAUGCGCAGUGUAGCGGUGAAAUGCAUAGAUAUCACGAAGAACUCCGAUUGCGAAGGCAGCUUACCAGUCUGCGACUGACGCUCAGGCACGAAAGUGUGGGUAUCGAACAGG
rnacentral:rRNA from 1 species